rnacentral:rRNA from 1 species
UACAGAGGUCUCAAGCGUUGUUCGGAUUCAUUGGGCGUAAAGGGUGCGUAGGCGGCGCGGUAAGUCGGAUGUGAAAUCUUGGAGCUUAACUCCGAAACUGCAUUCGAUACUGCCGUGCUUGAGGACUGGAGAGGAGACUGGAAUUUACGGUGUAGCGGUGAAAUGCGUAGAUAUCGUAAGGAAGACCAGUGGCGAAGGCGGGUCUCUGGACAGUUCCUGACGCUGAGGCACGAAGGCCAGGGGGAGCAAACGGG